GUCCAAUCACAGACUCCCCAAUGCAGCGCAAGACAGGUGCUCUGGACAAAUGCUGCCUCUUGAGUUUAACUCCACUGAACUAUAUUACAUGGAAGUAACAGGACCUCUUGUCUGGUUGACAUCCACAAGGGUGGAGCAAGGUUUAUUUAUGAAAGUGCCAAUUUCUGUUGAAAUCGGCACUUUUUGUAUAAUGUAAAACAGGAGGACGCACUCUUCAUACAUUUUAAUUGUAUCAUUUAUAUUGAGAUUUUCAACAAAAUACAGACAUAUUUGAUGUUGAGCAUAUAGAAACAAAGAAAACAAUAACAAAAUUGUACAUGUACAGUUGUUCUGAAAAAUGUGCAUACCCUUGGAGAAUUGGUAAUAUAUGUACCAUUUCUAAAGAAAACAUGAGUGAGCAGCUGAAACACAUUUCUUUAAUUUUGUAUGGAAUUCAUACUCAACUGUAAGUUACAACAGAAUGUCACAAUCAUAAGAAAAAAAUGAAAUGACCCCUGUUCAAAUAUCUGCAUACUCUUAGUUCUUAAUACUGUGUAUUGUCCCCUUUAGUAUCAAUGACAGCAUGCAGUAUUUUGUAAUAGUUGUCUAUGAGGCCCCUAAUUCUUGCAAGUGGUAUAGCUGCCCACUCGUCUUGGCAAAAUGUCUCCGGGUCAAGCAAAGUUUUUGGUCGUCUUGCUUGAACCUCACUUUUGAAAUCUCCCCAGAGUGGCGUGGUGAUAUUAAGGUCAGGAGACUGUGAUGGCCAUUCCAGAAACUUCACCUUUUUCUGCUGUAACGACUGGAGGGUCA